ensembl:lncRNA
UUCUCUCUUUGCCAGUUUGCAUUUGGUUUUUCACCCUUUUUUUUAAUCGAACUGUGUGUUCUAAUGUCUUACCUGAUUUACAGAUUGUGAUUUCUGCUUGCCCUCUGAGUUUGUUUGCUGGUCAACCUGCUUUGCUGCCUAUAUGGUUCUGUUUUUGUCUUCUGCCUUAAAUUGUUCCCAUAAAUAAAGACUGUAAGCAGACAGUUGGCCUGGCAUUGGGUGAGCUGACGACUAGCCUGGUCAUGACUGUAGUCUGUUGUUGGGUACAGACAUUAAUAGGGUUUGAUGGGGAGAGUUGGGCCACAUGUUACAACCUAAUAAUGACGCUGAUUAUUUUCCAGUAAGUUUUGGUGAAGUAAGUACCUGUGUGUGUGUGUAUGUGUGUGAGUGUGUGUGAAAUUUCCCUUUGUUCAAGAAAAAAUCAUACUAAAUCAGUACAGAAAUAAUAACUCAUACACAAACACAAAUAAGACAGGUGAUACAAUGUUAACACACACACACACACACCCCUCAGAUCAACAACAGAUUGUAUGAAAACUGUCCAGGUAGGGUGUCACGGAAGCAGGAGAGGAGGAAGACCCAAGUUUGACUGUGACUAGGCAGGGAGGGAACAAUUUAAGGCAGUUUAUUAUUUAAAAAAAACAAAAACAAAAACAGAACCAUAUAGGCAGCAAAGCAGGUUGACCAGCAAACAAACUCAGAGGGCAAGCAGAAAUCACAAUCUGUAAAUCAGUGGAUCAGCCAUGGACAAAGGUUUGCUGCUGGUCCUGUUGUGUCUGCAGGUCGUCCUGCUCACCACAGUCUUCACUUCUGCUGAUGCAGCCGCUCUGCUGAGAGAUGAUCAGCAUCAACAACCUGUUGAUCCAAUCAGAAGUCUGCAGCAAGUGAAAAAAGGAGGACAGACGGAGCAGAAACUUCCAUACUGGAUAUUCUGUGGGAGGAGACGAGGAGGAUGCACUUUGACAGGACGUGUGCAACCUCCUGAACCAUCUUUUGACCACAUCAAGUCACACUCAAUAGACAUCUUGAGUCAAGCUCUGCAGGAAGUGCCAUUAGAUGCAAAAGACAGAAAAUGAAUGAAGAUAAUUGUAAUGCUUACAAAUCAAUGCAAGUGCUUUUUAUCAGAAAUAAAA